UUAACAUUCACAACAAGUUGAGAUCGUCAACACUUCAUAUCAAACAUUCAGUUAAUUCUCAUAAAAAUGAACUCCAAAUUGAUGUUUAUAGUUUUAUUAUUCGCAAUGUGGUCAACUGUUGCAAAUGGUAUAUUCUUCGACAAUGAAAAAAUUUUUAAAAUGGAUAGUAGCGACAUAUUCACAGAUCCGGAAGAGACUCAAACAAAGUAAUCACCCACGGAAACCGAAACUGAAAUCCCGAAUAUGUUAUCAAUAAAAUUUGAAUUUACUUAUUAUAAAAAUGUUAUUAUUGUUAUUUUUAUCGCAUGUCGUAAUAAAUUUUAACAAAAUAAAAUAA